UCAUCUUGUCUCCUCUCUCUUCUUGCCCUAGCCCCCAUCCCCGUUCUCUCUCCAGGCAAGACCCAUGACUUGAUCCGCAGGCCGGAUCAAGUGGCACCCAAGAGUGGGGGCUAGGCCUGGCAUGAGAGGUUUCAACGUGGGACCAUACACAGGAGUAAAUCGCUGCGCAGCAUGACUGAUUCAAGGGCUUUGUCCCUGUGAUCCGUGCAGACGGCCGCCUUCUCACCUGAAUCACGUUCUUCUAGCUCAUCUGCCUGUGACUGGGACAAUCACCACAAGCUGACUCUUCCUGACAUCUCUGGUAGAGGGACCUGUCUCAGGGACUCCAGCCACCCACCAGCACUGGCAGCAGGACUCUGUGCCCAGCUUCAUUCAGAGUUCCAACAAACAAUUACCUCAUCCCUUCCCCAGGAACGUCUUGGGCCUGCAAUUUUGGCCUCUCACCCUGUAUAGCAACUACUGUUUUUAACAAGUCUAUAGAUUUUGUGUUCUUGUACAGGUUCUUCCUCGCAUAACAUUCCACCCAGGAGACUACUACCUCCAGGCAUCACAGAUUGACUAUAUAUAUAAAAGAGAACCUGCCACACUCACCUUAGCUAUAUUACUAGGGUUAGGAGUUGCAACGGGGAUAGGAACAGGGACUACAGCUCUAGUGUUGGGAAAUCAAUAUCUAGCUCAAUUACAGGCGACAGUAGAUCAAGAUUUAAAAGAAAUAGAAACAUCUGUAAUGGCUUUACAGGCAUCUCUGACAUCUUUAUCUGAGGUAGUCCUACAAAAUAGAAGAGGACUAGACCUCCUAUUUAUGAAGAAGGAUGGCUUUUGUGCUACCCUCAAAGAAGAAUUCUGUUUUUAUGCGAGUCAUCAGAGAGUCAAUGACUAAACUAAGAGAAUGCCUCAAAGAGAGAGAAAAGGAGCACCUCAGAUAAACUACCUUCUCUUCCAUGUGAGGGGGUCUCUUCCCUUACAUUGCCCCCCUCUUGGGACCCCUAGCUGCUUUAUUGCUACUCCUUACUGUAGGCCCUUGUAUUUUCCAGAGGAUCAUGACACUCAUUAAUAACAGGAUUGACGCAUUUAUGGCAAAGCCCAUUCAGGUACAUUACCAUCAAUUGGAGAUGGCAGAACAACAAAUUUAUUGGGAAAGAACAUCCACGGAUGGUCCACAUAAUGAUGUGGCCCUAAUGCCUUGAGGCACUGAACAGGCAGCCAAAGAUGGGCAACUUGGACAUUUGUGUCACACCUCCAAGCUGCCUAAGACAGGCACAGGACCAGCUGCUAUCCUGCAGGCCCAUGACAGGAAAGGCCUGGUUGGGGUCACAAAUAGAGACUAUGACCCAAGACAGGCGCCAUCCUCACAAAGCCUGCUAUACUCUUGAUAUUAUAAAUAUAAAGGGAGGAGAGGUAGGGAGUGGCAUAUCUCACUGCUGCCACCUUAUCUCGCCUUCCUGUGAGCCUCUGCCAUGUCCGCCUACAUUUCCCAUGAUCUUCUCAUGCUUGCGUACUUCCCCUUACCUAGUUGCCUAUACAUGGUUUCCUGCUAAUCUGAUAAGUCCACGUCAUAUGAGGAGAUCUAAACUGACCUAUCCUAUAAAGCCACAUUCCCUUGGGCUUUAUAUAAGCCAUGUACACUUCCUGAAUAAACGAGACUUGAUUGGAA